rnacentral:rRNA from 1 species
GAUGAACGCUGGCGGCGUGCCUAAUACAUGCAAGUCGAGCGAACGGACGAGAAGCUUGCUUCUCUGAUGUUAGCGGCGGACGGGUGAGUAACACGUGGAUAACCUACCUAUCAGACUGGGAUAACUUCGGGAAACCGGAGCUAAUACCGGAUGAUAUUUUGAACCGCAUGGUUCAAAAGUGAAAGACGGUCUUGCUGUCACUUAUAGAUGGAUCCGCGCUGCAUUAGCUAGUUGGUAAGGUAACGGCUUACCAAGGCAACGAUGCAUAGCCGACCUGAGAGGGUGAUCGGCCACACUGGAACGGGGACGCGGUCCAGACUCCUACGGGAGGCAGCAGUAGGGAAUCUUCCGCAAUGGGCGAAAGCCUGACGGAGCAACGCCGCGUGAGUGAUGAAGGUCUUCGGAUCGUAAAACUCUGUUAUUAGGGAAGAACAUAUUUGUAAGUAACUGUGCACAUCUUGACGGUACCUAAUCAGAAAGCCACGGCUAACUACGUG